rnacentral:rRNA from 1 species
UACGAAGGUCCCAAGCGUUAUCCGGAUUUAUUGGGUUUAAAGGGUGCGUAGGCGGGCUAUUAAGUCAGUGGUGAAAGCCCCAAGCUUAACUUGGGAACUGCCAUUGAUACUGAUGGUCUUGAGUACAUUUGAGGUGGGCGGAAUGUGUCAUGUAGCGGUGAAAUGCUUAGAUAUGACACAGAACACCGAUUGCGAAGGCAGCUCACUAAACUGUAGCUGACGCUGAGGCACGAAAGCGUGGGGAGCAAACAGG